rnacentral:sRNA from 1 species
GGCGUGAAGGGCCGGUACGUGAUGGGGAGCCUUGGCCCGCGGACCCCGCUCCCAGCUUGGGCAGGUCCCAGCUGCAGGGCAGCCAUGAGCCUGGUGGCCUGUGAGUGCCUGCCCAGCCCCGGCCUGGAGCCUGAGCCUUGCUCACGAGCACGGUCCCAGGCUUGCGUGUACCUGGAGCAGAUUCGCAACAGGGUGGCUCUGGGAGUGCCUGACAUGACAAAACGUGACUAUCUGGUGGAUGCGGCCACGCAGAUCCGGCUGGCCCUGGAGCGCGAUGUUAGUGAGGACUAUGAGGCGGCCUUCAACCACUAUCAGAAUGGCGUGGAUGUGCUGCUCCGUGGCAUACACGUUGACCCCAACAAGGAGCGACGUGAGGCUGUGAAGCUGAAAAUUACCAAAUAUCUGCGGCGGGCAGAGGAGAUCUUCAACUGCCACCUGCAGCGGCCACUGAGCAGUGGAGCCAGCCCCAGCACGGGUUUCAGCAGCCUGAGGCUCCGGCCCAUUCGCACGCUGAGCUCUGCCGUGGAGCAGCUGAGGGGCUGCCGGGUGGUCGGGGUCAUCGAGAAGGUGCAGCUGGUCCAGGACCCGGCAACUGGAGGGACCUUCGUGGUGAAGAGCCUACCCAGGUGCCACAUGGUAAGCAGGGAGCGGCUGACCAUCAUCCCACAUGGAGUCCCCUACAUGACGAAGCUGCUCAGGUACUUUAUGAGCGAGGACUCCAUCUUCCUGCACCUGGAGCAUGUGCAAGGAGGCACUCUCUGGUCCCACCUGCUCUCCCAGGCGCACCCCCGACAUUCUGGGCUCAGCUCUGGCUCUACCCAGGAGAGGAUGAAGGCUCAGCUCAACCCCCACCUCAACCUCCUGACCCCAGCGAGGCUCCCCUCAGGCCAUGCCCCUGGCAAGGACAGAAUCGCCCUGGAGCCUCCUAGGACUUCUCCGAGCCUUCCCCUAGCUGGGGAGGCCCCAUCCAUCAGGCCCCAGAGGGAGGCUGAAGGUGAACCCACAGCCAGGACCAGCACCUCUGGCUCCUCGGACCUUCCAAAGGCCCCAGGUGGCCACCUGCACCUUCAAGCUAGGCGGGCUGGCCAGAACUCAGAUGCUGGGCCCCCUCGGGGGCUCACUUGGGUUCCUGAGGGGGCCGGCCCGGUGCUAGGGGGCUGUGGCCGAGGCAUGGAUCAGAGCUGCCUGUCAGCAGAUGGGGCUGGCCAGGGCUGUGGCAGGGCCACCUGGAGUGUAAGAGAGGAGCAGGUGAAGCAGUGGGCGGCAGAGACGCUGGUAGCGCUGGAGGCGCUGCACGAGCAGGGGGUGCUGUGCCGGGACCUCCACCCCGGGAACCUACUCCUGGACCAGGCAGGUAGGUGCCCUCCUCACCCCUCAGGGGGGCGGCCCCCAAAGCCUCCAGGCAGAGGACGAGAGAUCCCCAAAGUCAAGGGGACCUCCAAGGUUGUCUGCUCCUCCCUGGCCCCAGCCAGCCUUUCAGUGGGCCUAGGCUGGGGUCUGUUGGCCGAGGCUCCUGGGAGUACCCUGUGGGCUCUGUGGGCCUCAGGGUGCUGUGCCCCUGCCGAGGUUCUGCCCAGCAAGGCCAUUGGCUCCCACCGCAUGACUGUUGGGGGAAGCCCUGCAACCCCCUCCCCUGUAUCAGCUGUCCUCAAUUUUUGUCCCCUCCUUUUUCCUCCCACACACUGGAGGUCACAUCCGGCUCACAUAUUUUGGCCAGUGGUCAGAGGUGGAGCCCCAGUGCUGCGGGGAGGCCGUGGACAAUCUCUACAGCGCCCCAGAGGUGGGUGGGAUUUCCGAGCUGACGGAAGCCUGUGACUGGUGGAGCUUUGGGUCUCUACUGUAUGAACUGCUGACGGGAAUGGCACUGUCCCAGAGCCACCCUUCAGGAAUCCAGGCCCACACCCAGCUCCAGCUGCCCGAGUGGCUCAGUCGCCCAGCGGCCUCUCUGCUGACUGAGGUGAGGUGUAGCCCGGCCAGAGGAAGCAGCUGCCUAGCCUGAAGAAGGUGCUGGGAGGGGCGCAGAACUGUGUCUGAACCACAUGUGCUUCGUGCUCAGUGUCUGAUGUGGGUGCAGAGGGCAGUAGGGUCAACACAUUUCUAUAUGUUGGUGGCCAACCACCACCAAUGUCCCCAGGGUAAAAUGGGGGUUCUGUGGGCCAGGCUGCCAGGGAGCAGGCCCCCUAGAGGCCAUAGUGGUUGGAGUCCCUGGAGGUCACCCCAUGCCUCCACAGCCGGAGUGGCCCAGCUGACUGGGCCUCUCUCUGCAGCUGCUGCAGUUCGAGCCUACCCGGCGCCUGGGCAUGGGAGAAGGCGGUGUCAGCAAACUCAAGUCCCAUCCCUUUUUCAGUACCAUCCAGUGGAGCAAACUGGUGGGGUAAGAGGGCAGAGUGAGUGACAGAAGCAGCUGGCCUGGUCUGGAUCGCCUCUCCUCCUUGCCUGACACCCAACCCAGGGCUGGCCCUCUAUCAGCGGGCUUUGGGCGAGGAAUGGAGGGCACUGUCUGUCCUGCUGGGCUCCCACUGGGGCCUCAGAAUUAUGGCCACCACCCAGAAAGGGCCAGCUCCUGGAAAAGCUGGAGGUGGGGGCAGUCAAGGCUUGCCCUGCUAAGCAGCUUGAACCUUCCACCCAUCAGUCAACAGACCCGUUGAGCAUGCGGACUCACCAUGUUAAAGGUUGCCUUCUGUGGCACUGGCGCUGAGCUGUUGACCACCUGCUGCACCCUACUGUGAGGUUCUGUGACUCACUCACUGCCAUGUUGUGCCCCACUCAGGACAUCUCUGGAGACUCAUCUCAGGACACUGAUCCACUGGCUCAGUGGACCCAAACCAGACUGUCCUGGCUAGUCCUCUUAGUCACACAGCGAGUAGGCCUCUUCCACCAGAAGCUGUUCCUGCAGCUGGGGAGGCCCAGAAGCAGGGAUGCCAUCUGUUGUGUGGGGAGGGAUGAGGUAGGGGACAGGAUGACCCCCCCUCCCCAUUCUUGACCAUGCCCCCUAUCUUGAUUUCAGACUUGGGAGAGCAAAAGGGAGGGGAAGAAAAUAAGAGGAAUGGGGGGAGGAAUGAAUGCAUGGCUCUGCCCCUUAGAGCAAGUCUGAAACCAGAAUCAAGAGUACUCCUCCCCAGUGGGCCCAUCUGUGUGGGGGAAGGGGGGCAGCCUGCCCCAGGGGUGCAAGAGGACAGCAAUUCAGCCUCCAGGCCAAAGCAGCUGAGACACGGUGUGCCCAUCAGGACUCCCUCUCAGGCCUUGGCUGUUUACCAUGUCACUGCCUACUGUGACUUCAUGCCCUUUUGGGAUAAGAAACCACAAAACGCAUGGAACAACUAUCCAUGGCUCUUAGCCAGAAAUGUUUUGCUUCUGGUCUCUGAAAAACUGGGGUGAGUGGUUACCCCAAAAACAAUCGCCCCCAGUUUGGGGGCUCCUCUCAGGGUUCACCCUGUCACCGGGGUGUGGGACCGACCUGGGAAAUUUCCACUAGACUUUUGCCCUCAGCUCCUCCCUGCCAGCAUCCCAGUCACCACCAGGUGGCGCUUCCGACACAGUCCACCUGCCUGGCUCUGAAGGCCCAACUCUGUCAGGCCAGACUCCUGUCACUCAUGGUGGGGAGACUUGACUUCCUUGGGCUCUUCAGGAGACAGAGAGGACAAGUGAAAGCGCAGCCUGUACAUGACUCUCUGUGGUCCACGUCCUGCCUCUCCCUGGGGUUUACGCAGCCCCAAUAAAGCCUGCUCUGGCCUACGGUGUUCUUGCUUCUUCCAUGCAGUGACCAUGGCUCAUUGGGGCAGGUUGGAAGGCUCCCCUAUAGAAGCUCCAGAGUGAAGUCAAGAGCGAGCUUGGGGGCUGCCAGGAAGUAGGACACAGGGCUGGUGGUGAGCAGCAUGCCACGUGGGCCUCAGGGGAAGGGGUGGGGUCAGGGGGAGGACCAGGUUCUGUGGGGAAGAGGAUGAAGCAGCCUUGGAAGAGGCUCAUGGUGCCUGGGGGAAUACCAGUUUCAUCCUCACAGUGACCCCUUGCAACAGACGGUAGCUCCUGAGAAAACUGAAGCUCAAAGAGGUUAAGGACACAACCUAGCCAGAGUUGCAAGUUAGUGUUCCUUCUGCUACUCUCCCUAAGUCAGGCUGGACCACUUCCAACCACUGCUUCAUGAAGCACAAGUCACUUCUGGAACUUCCGUGCUUCAUCCACCCAAAGCUACACAUCUGACACUUUGUUGGGCCCUGAGUUUAGAAUACUGUGGGUCCCAGCUCUUACAGCUGACCUCCUUUCGAUAAAAUGAGGCAAGUAAUGCCUAUUUUGCAGGUUUACCAGAUAAAUUAAAGCUUCUAACACCAAGUCCUGUUCUUCCUUUCAUUCAACCUAAUUUGUUUUUCUAUCUACUAGAGCUCUAGUUCUACUCUCUGGGACCCACUUCCCUCCUGUGACACACCUUCACAGUGGGAUGGCCUCACUGCAAGAGCUCAGCAGACAGGGACUCUGGAAAGACAAGGCUGUGUUUAAGCCUGGAAUCCAUCACACCUGCUACCUGCCGUCUAGGUUAGCUACCCACCCUGUACACUCACCCUCACUGACCACUGCUCCUAGGUCAUCAACCCUCACCUGUUCAUGUGUAUUGACCUUGAGCAUCUUGGUCCACAAGGCAAUCAAAUCCAAAUGAAAUGAGAUGCCCCCACUCCUCCCAAAUCCAUCACUGAAAUAAUGUAAGCCCUCACAAAAAAUGCAAGUCUACUGGUGUUUUGAAAGGGCUUCACAAAGAUGGUGACCCCAAAUUCUCUAUUCUAGAGUAUGGCUUGACAGGCUCAAGGAAGCUGAGGCACUAAGAGACUAUGAUGCUUUAUGGAAACUAAAAAAAAAAAAAAAAAAUCCUAAGCCCCCCCAACCAUCUAUAUUGACCUCAUCUCGGUCAAGGGUAUUCCAAAGUUAACCUGAAAAGCUAGUUCGGGCCAUGGUGGGAAGAGGGAGCGGGCCAUGCCUCAUUAUACUCCCCUCUCUUUUGGAAUUACUGUUAAAACAGGCUCCUUAAGUCUGAUGAGAAGCAUUUACAAUCUAUUUUCUCUGAAGCCUGCUGGCUGGAGGCUUCAUCUGCAUAAAACCUUGGUCUCCACAACCCCUUAUUGUAACCCAGACAUUCCUUUUUAUUGAUUCCAGGUCUUUAGAUAAUAACUUUCAACCAACUGCCAAUCAGAAAAUCUUUGAUUCUGCCUAUGACAACAUCCCCAGGCCUUGAGCUGUCCUGCCUCUCCAGACCAAACCACUGUACAUCUUACAUGUACUGACUGGUAUCUUACGUCUCCCUAAAACGUAUUAAAUGUAUAAAACUAAGUUGUAGCCAGACCACCCUGAACACAAGUUCUCAGGAUCUCCUAAAAGUUGUAUCACAGGCCAUCAGUCACUCACAUUUGGCUCAGAAUAAAUCUCUUCAAAUAUUUU